AACGAACGCUGGCGGCAUGCCUAACACAUGCAAGUCGAACGGGAUCCUGGCUUCGGUCAGGUGAGAGUGGCGGACGGGUGAGUAACGCGUGGGAACCUGCCCAGUGGUGGGGGAUAACUGCGGGAAACUGCAGCUAAUACCGCAUGAGCCCGAGAGGGGAAAGAUUUAUCGCCAUUGGAGGGGCCCGCGUUCGAUUAGGUAGUUGGUGAGGUAACGGCUCACCAAGCCGACGAUCGAUAGCUGGUCUGAGAGGAUGAUCAGCCACACUGGGACUGAGAUACGGCCCAGACUCCUACGGGAGGCAGCAGUGGGGGAAUAUUGGACAAUGGGGGGCAACCCUGAUCCAGCAAUGCCGCGUGAGUGAUGAAGGCCUGGUGUAAGACCUUCGCGGGACGGAUGAUGACGGUACCGCC
rnacentral:rRNA from 1 species